rnacentral:rRNA from 1 species
UACGAAGGGGGCUAGCGUUGCUCGGAAUCACUGGGCGUAAAGGGUGCGUAGGCGGGUCUUUAAGUCAGGGGUGAAAUCCUGGAGCUCAACUCCAGAACUGCCUUUGAUACUGAGGAUCUUGAGUUCGGGAGAGGUGAGUGGAACUGCGAGUGUAGAGGUGAAUUCGUAGAUAUUCGCAAGAACACCAGUGGCGAAGGCGGCUCACUGGCCCGGUACUGACGCUGAGGUGCGAAAGCGUGGGGAGCCAAACAGGG